rnacentral:misc_RNA from 1 species
GCCAAGACAAAUAAUCAAGUUUUUAAGUUUUAUACAUCAUCCAUCUAUAGAAACUGAUGCUUUUCACAGAUCCUUUUAGAUUGCUAUUAGAAAAUCAAGAAAUAAUGACCAGCAAAGUGAAAUUGCACAGUAAGUAAGUUAUUCACAAAUAAUCAAACACAGAUUACCAUGAAUUUCAAUUAUUGAACAAUAUCAUACAUUGAAGGCUUGAACUGAUUGGAUACUAAGACUCUUAAACCAAUCUUAU